rnacentral:pre_miRNA from 3 species
AAUUUCAGCUGAAAAAGUCAUGAACAUAAAAGUUAUAGAGCUCAUCAAGACAUACAACUUUUAUUUUGGUCAUUUCUUCAUCCGAUAAAGUGAUAGUAGUAUUAUUCAAAAAGUUUACACAUCUCUCUUAUAGUUUAUAGAAACAAAUGAGAUAGAUGUAAAUUUUAUGAACAAUGUUACUAUCACUUUGUCGGAUGAAAAAAUGACCAAAAUAAAAGUUAUAGAUCUUGAUGAGUUAUACAACUUUAUUGUUGAUGACUUUUUCAGUUGAAAUC